GCCUGGGUGGCUCAGUCGGUUGAGCGUCCGACUUCGGCUCGGGUCACGAUCUCACAGUGCGUGAGUUCGAGCCCCGCGUCAGGCU
rnacentral:tRNA from 1 species